rnacentral:rRNA from 1 species
UACGAGGGGGGCUAGCGUUGCUCGGAAUUACUGGGCGUAAAGCGCACGUAGGCGGAUUGUUAAGUCGGGGGUGAAAUCCUGGAGCUCAACUCCAGAACUGCCUUCGAUACUGGCGAUCUCGAGUCCGGGAGAGGUGAGUGGAACUGCGAGUGUAGAGGUGAAAUUCGUAGAUAUUCGCAAGAACACCAGUGGCGAAGGCGGCUCACUGGCCCGGUACUGACGCUGAGGUGCAAAAGCGUGGGGAGCAAACAGG